rnacentral:rRNA from 1 species
CGUAGGUGGCGAGCGUUGUCCGGAUUUAUUGGGCGUAAAGGGUGCGUAGGCGGCGGAGUAAGUUGGGUGUGAAAUCCCGGGGCUCAACCUCGGAAUGGCAUUCAAUACUGCUUCGCUAGAGUACUGGAGAGGAGGCUGGAAUUUACGGUGUAGCAGUGAAAUGCGUAGAUAUCGUAAGGAAGGCCGGUGGCGAAAGCGAGCCUCUGGACAGUUACUGACGCUGAUGCACGAAGGCCAGGGGAGCAAACGGG